UUUGCACAUCGCGGGAGCUCCGAGCACGGGGCUGAGAGGGCGCUGACUUCCGUACAGCCGUUCGCGCGGAAACGGAGAAGGCUGCGCCGACCGCCGAACCUGUUACCGGGUAAUGCCGGCGUAGGGAGUUGGUCGCAUGACCAU
rnacentral:ncRNA from 1 species